AGAAUCCUGGUACUCAGGUCCUACACUACGUUGGAGAAGCUGAUCCUGAGACUUCAGAAAGAUGUCAUUCCAAGAGCAGCAGUGCAAGCAGCCCUGCCAGCCUCCUCCUGUUAUGCCCACCACCAAAGUGCCCAGAGCCCUGUCCUCUGCCAAAGUGCCCUGAGCCUUGUCCUCCUCCAAAGUGUCCUGAACCUUGUCCCGAGCCAUGUCUUCCUUCUCCAUGCCAGCAGAAAUGCCCUCCUGUGCAAACUCCUCCACCAUGCCAGCAGAAGUGCCCACCCAAGAGCAAAUGAGCAUGGCAGCAAUCUUCAGAACAAGGGGAAGAGAAGGGAAUUUAUCUAUUGUCCUUCCAUACCAAUACUUCUAUCUUCCAUUCAAAGGACAUCUUGGAUGCAAAUGAAUCUUCUCUACCCUUCAUCUUUCAAAUGCCUGUUACAUCUCAUUAUAGGGAAGGCAUUUUUCUGAGACUGUAAAACUGUUUUUUUUUCCCCCAAUGGAAUGCUGAGAAUGAUCCUCCUUCAAUAGAUUCAUAUACCAGAUGUUCAGAGGAAAGACUAGUAGAUGUCCCUCAGUGCCUUCACAGUAUGGUUUCCAAAUCUGUGUGUCACGGAUGUUCCAUUUGCUGAAUAAAGUAUAAUCUUUUCAAUGGUG